UGAAAAUUGUGUGAGCGUCCACCUCGGAUACGGAUGCAAGAGACUCCGAGUGCGAUCCGACAGCAUUGCGUGGCAAUUACAUGAGCCUGGGCCGGUCAUAAAUUUCAUCCUUUCACGCGGCAGCCGAAAGGAGUAGGGCCCCUGGGCCUGGCGGGGAGUCUGGCCCUGCCACUGCCGCUUCGAGGUGGCCAGAGUGGCGUGUGGCGCGGGGCCCGAGACAUGCGGCAUGUUUCAGGAAAGCAAGGGGCAAAGAUAUUAAAAAACUGCAAUUAACUCGGCCCAUUCUCCGCGCCAUAAUUGACCAGGGCUCGAUGCCUCUUGCGACAGUCUCGGCCUCGACUUAUUUAUAUUAUUAAGUUUCUUUUUUUUAUACUUUAUCAAUUUACUCUUUCCUGCA